GGUGCCUUGGGAGGGGCCCGCGGCCUAUCAGGUAGUUGGUGAGGUAACGGCUCACCAAGCCGACGACGGGUAGGGGGCGUGAGAGCGUGGCCCCCCACACGGGAACUGAGACACGGUCCCGACGCCUACGGGCGGCAGCAGUGAGGAAUCUUGCCCAAUGGGGGAAACCCUGAGGCAGCGACACCGCGUGCGGGAUGAAGGCCUUCGGGUCGUAAACCGCUUUUCUGGGGGACGAGUAAGGACGGUACUCCAGGAAUAAGUCCCGGCUAACUACGUGCCAGCAGCCGCGGUAAAACGUAGGGGGCGAGCGUUAUCCGGAAUCACUGGGCGUAAAGGGCGUCUAGGCGGCAGCCUAAGUCCCGUGUGAAAGCUCCCGGCUCAACUGGGAGAGGGCAUGGGAGACUGGGCAGCUAGAGACUCGGAGGGGGGUGUGGAAUUCCCGGUGGAGUGGUGGAAUGCGUUGAGAUCGGGAGGAACACCAGUAGCGAAGGCGGCACCCUGGCCGAGAUCUGACGCUGAAGCGCGAGAGCGUGGGGAGCGAACGGGAUUAGAUACCCCGGUAGUCCACGCCGUAAACGAUGACAACUAGGUGUUGGGUGUCCAAGGAUGCUCAGUACCGCAGCAAACGCGAUAAG
rnacentral:rRNA from 1 species